GUGAAGGAGAGGGUGAGUUUUGAAGAUAUUUUAGGUGAUAGUUCAGGUGGUGACCUAUCAGGGAAGGCUUCGGAGGCAUAAUGUGCUGUUAUAGCUUGUAUAGCCUCCCGACUUUUGUUAUAUGUGCUGAUCUGUUAUAUAUUGCCACAUAGGGCCCAUAUACUCUAAUGCUGUAAACUAAUACUUUUAAUCACUACUAUAUGAUAUGGGGGUCGUUGGAAGGCUAGAGAUAUUUAA